GGUUCCAUAGUGUAGCGGUUAGCACAUCUGCUUUACAUGCAGAAGGUACUGGGUUCGCACCA
rnacentral:tRNA from 1 species